rnacentral:rRNA from 1 species
CAAUGAUAAGUGGGAGGAAGGUGGGGAUGACGUCAAGUCCUCAUGGCCCUUAUGUGUUGGGCUACACACGUGCUACAAUGGCACUUACAAUGGGAAGCAAAGAGGCGACUCCUAGCUAAUCCCAAAAAUGUGUCUCAGUUCGGAUUGUACUCUGUAACUCGAGUGCAUGAAGCUGGAAUUGCUAGUAAUCGCGGAUCAGCGCGCCGCGGUGAAUACGUUCCCGGGUCUUGUACACACCGCCCGUCACACCAUGGAAGUGGAUUGCACCAGAAGUAGAUAGUCUAACCUUCGGGAGGGCGUUUACCACGGUGUGCUUCAUGACUGGGGUGAAGUCGUAACAAGGUAACC